UAAAGUCCUGAGAAGGACUGUUUUUGUUGUUGUUGACUGACGUUUCGACGACCUUAGCGGCAGUCAUCUUCGGAGU